rnacentral:rRNA from 1 species
UACGUAGGCGGCAAGCGUUGUUCGGAAUCACUGGGCGUAAAGCGCACGCAGGCGGUUGGAUAAGUCGGGGGUGAAAGCCCGGGGCUCAACCUCGGAAUUGCCUUCGAUACUGUCAGUCUCGAGUCCGGGAGAGGUGAGUGGAAUUCCUAGUGUAGAGGUGAAAUUCGUAGAUAUUAGGAAGAACACCAGUGGCGAAGGCGGCUCACUGGCCUGGUACUGACGCUCAGGUGCGAAAGCGUGGGGAGCAAACAGG